AUUGAACGCUGGCGGCAUGCCUUACACAUGCAAGUCGAGCGGUAACGGGCCUUCGGGUGCCGACGAGUGGCGAACGGGUGAGUAAUGUAUCGGAACGUACCUUUCAGUGGGGGAUAACGUAGCGAAAGUUACGCUAAUACCGCAUAUUCUGUGAGCAGGAAAGCAGGGGAUCGCAAGACCUUGCGCUGAUUGAGCGGCCGAUAUCAGAUUAGCUAGUUGGUGAGGUAAAAGCUCACCAAGGCGACGAUCUGUAGCGGGUCUGAGAGGAUGAUCCGCCACACUGGAACUGAGACACGGUCCAGACUCCUACGGGAGGCAGCAGUGGGGAAUUUUGGACAAUGGGGGCAACCCUGAUCCAGCCAUGCCGCGUGAGUGAAGAAGGCCUUCGGGUUGUAAAGCUCUUUCGGCCGGGAAGAAAUCGUAUCAGCUAAUACCUGGUGCGGAUGACGGUACCGGCAUAAGAAGCACCGGCUAACUACGUGCCAGCCGCCGCAGUAAUAC
rnacentral:rRNA from 1 species